UACAGAGGUGGCAAGCGUUGUUCGGAAUUACUGGGCGUAAAGGGCGCGUAGGCGGUUCGAUAAGUCCCGUGUGAAAUCCCUCGGCUCAACUGAGGAACUGCACGGGAAACUGACGGGCUUGAGUUCGGGAGAGGGAAGCGGAAUUCCGGGUGUAGCGGUGAAAUGCGUAGAUAUCGAGAGGAACACCUGCGGCGAAGGCGGGUUGCUGGGCUGACACUGACGCUGAGGCGCGAAAGCCAGGGGAGCGAACGGG
rnacentral:rRNA from 1 species